rnacentral:tRNA from 1 species
GCCGACUUAGCUCAGCUGGCAGAGCAUCUGUCUUGUAAACAGGGGGUCGGAGGUUCGA